ensembl:snoRNA
CACCCCUACCCCUUGGCACCUUGUUGGUGUUAUUCUUUUAUCAGCUAGGGACAAAGCAAAUGGUAAUCCUUUGUUCAUCCUAGUUUGAUGCCUGGCUUGGUGGCCAAAGCUGUUUCAUACCUAGAGCACAUUA